GGGAAGGAGAGCUGACUGUAAUUUGGAGGAGCAGUGUUAUUGACUGGAGGAGCGGAGUACUAGGGGAAGGAAACCCUGCUCAAGGGGAAAGAGGAUGGGGAGCGCAACAGAGAAACUAAGUGACCUGCCCAGAGUCCCACAAGGAGUCAGUGGCAGAAUUGGAAAUUGAACCCUGAUCUUGAGUUCCAGGCCUGUGCUGAACCAGAAGAGCACCAUUUUCCUAGUAAACGUAUGACCAUAUAGCUGGAGGAGGAUCAAUGAGACAGGACAACACCUCUGAAAAGAAAAUGGCUGCAAGCAGGAACCGAGGGCUGGGUCUGGAUCCUGGGAGCCACCCUCAGUGUUGCAGCAGGAAAGAUCAAGCAGUAACAUGCAUCUGCAUUAUUGUGGCUCUCUGAACAAAAGCAUACCAAUUCUUCCCCUACGAGUUCGGGAGUUCGGCACCAGUACUGCAAAGUAUCAGAAAGCCACAGGGUAGGACUCGGAUUGUUUUGCCUUUAAGUUCAGCCUGCUUCAUGAGUUUUUCCGUUUUAAGGCUGAAACAAGCUUUCUUAACCUGUGAACAUUGUAACUCAUUUCACACAUGGAAAACUGGGCAGGACAAAGCUGGUAUUUUAUAUCGGGUUGACAAAAGCCAUGAAAUGUAGAGUCUCGGAUCCUUAAUAUUUAUUUACGAUUCAGGUACAAUUAGACAGAUGUUAUACUAAAUCUGGGUGAUGAAGCAGAUCUGUAUGUUCUGACAGCAUUCAGCUUUCUGUGGGGAAGGUAAUUAUUAACUCCCAAGACACACCUGCUGAGUCAGCCGCUCCCGCUCCUUCUCCAACAUGUAGGUGACAUCAUCUCCUUCAGCAGUGUCCUGGGCAUGCCGCUGCCUCUCUUCCUCAAGAUCCAGUAUCACCUUCCAAACACAGACACUUCAGUCAUCUUUUUAUGGAAAAGCAUUUACGUACAUGCUCAGAAACCCACUCUCCAUGUGUCCUUAUUUUAGCCUUCAACAAAUAAUUUGUAUGUUUGUCUCCAGUUUAUAGCGCAGCUUUAAAAAUGUAUUUUCCUCACAGAAUUUCAGUUUUGGCUGGUGCCUGAGACAGGAUUUACUAACAAGGUCAUUAAGACAAAAACCAGGAGCAUAUAUACAGCCUCAUGAGUAUGUUUUUAGAUGUUGGUUCAAGGGAAAUUUGCAUUAUGAUAUGCAGUUCUCUUUUACUCCUGGGAGAAUUCUGCAUCACUGUGCAUGUGCAGAAUUUAUAUCCCCUGCAGAAAAAUUAUUUUCUGACAGGGAAACAAAGGGAAGCCACAAGAGUAGUCAUGUGACCCAACCCAGCAGUAUGUUUUGGGUGCCCAGGGCAGUCAGCAGAGAGGUGGGGCAGGGGACCACCUGGCUGGUGGCUCCUACCCUGGGCCAGGCUCAGCUGCUUGGGCUGGGGAGGACAGGACUUCCUCUUCCCCUGCACAGCAUCUGGGGUGGGGUCAGACCCACCCCCAGAGUUCUUCCCCCACUGCAGAAAGCUCUGCAAUCUCCUGCACCCAUUGCUCCUCAGCUGCAGGGGGGGAGGGAUCCCUGUAUAGGGAGCUGCUCCACCAUCCACCCAAUGCCCAUGCAGCCAGACGCUCACACUCAGAACCCCCUCAACGAGCCCCAGACCCCCAUGCUGAGCUCUAUCCACCUGCACCCAGACAACACGCCCUGCUCCCCGCAGAGUCCCAUUCCUGUUGCACCCAGAGCCCCCUAACAAGCCCCAGUGCAUCCAGAUCCCCUGCACACUUAUAUCCUGCCCAAACCUGGUGCACCUGGCAUGGAGGGGCAGGAUUGGUCCUUGUGCUGUGUCAGGGUUGUGUGCAGCCUCACUGCUGAGUCUGUCCUCCAGGGGAGGAGCUGAAAAGUGAUCUCCCAACCUCCCUGCAGCCAGGGGCCUGUGCUUCCCCAAUGCCAUGCUGGAGCCUCCAUAUUAAUUUUACAAAUAAAAUUUGGAGAGUUUUAAAAUAUUGUGUGCAGAAUUUUUACGGAACAAAAUGCCCUCAGGAAUACC